UCGCUUCGCCCAUCAUGCAGCUGCCCCGCGCUCCACUCCCUCCAAUAGCGCAUAGCACUGCCCUCUCCUAGAAACACUCUGCCACCUCCUUGCCUACCCUCCUCCAUUGGCCAUCCACGUCUUGGCCACAAGCGCCCUGCCCUGCCGUUUUCCUGGCCUGUCCACACACCUAAGCCCUUCCACGCUUCACGCCCACGGUGCCGGAGACACGCUAACCUGAAAGAAGGUACAUAUAAUUGCAAAUCUUACUACACAGUGCAAACGAGUGUAUUGGAGCAAGGUCUUAGAUAUGGACAGGCGGUGGUAGAGAUUGGCAUUUGCCGGUGGCGACAACGAGGAGGAGGCAACUUCAAUGAUGACGUAUGGUGGCUGCGGCGGCGGUGUGUGUGAGCGGAAUGAGGCCACGACGACAGAUCCAACAUGAUAAGUUCCUUCUCAGCCCCUCCCUUGUUUGCUAGCACCACCGCACCCUUCUCCGCUUGUAGGUUCCCCUUGCUUCUAUAGGUCAACUGGUUUUCUCUGAUCCUGUUGAUUGAUUUGGUUAGCUUUAGCUAGCUCUGUUCAUGCCAUUAAUACUGAGUGAGACUCUUACCAGUGGUGAUAUGUUUAUUUGAUUUAGCAGGGCCUGGUGAUGAUGGCCUUCUUCAAGAAGCGUGAACCUCUGAUGUUGAUGGUCAAGAAGGCAACGACCACAUGACAACAAUGCAAACAAGUGAACCAGAGGCUCCUAUUGCGGACGCUACAAGAAUGUUUUUUAGUAAAUCCGAAACAGCCAUUUACGCAUUAUUAGCUAUUCAUAUUUUCUAUUAUCUAUUAUAUUUUUAGUUGUGUGAGUGCUCAUUGGCUGCUUGCCCACUAUAUACUGUAGGAGGGUGAUAAUGCAAGUACAUCCUUGUGAUAGCUAAUUAGGCAUAAACCCAUGUCCAUGCAAUACAAAUUGCUUGCUUUGGUAAGA